GACGAACGCUGGCGGCGCGCUUAACACAUGCAAGUCGAACGGAAAGGCCUGCUUUCCCUUGUGGAUUGCGGGUACUCGAGUGGCGAACGGGUGAGUAACACGUGAGUGAUCUUCUCCCAACUUUGGUAUAAGCCGGGGAAACUGGGUCUAAUUCCCGCUAGGACUGCAGUGUGGUGCCUGUGGUUGCAAACGAUUUUCUAGUGGUCGGGGAUGAGCUCGCGGCCUAUCAGGUUGUUGGUGGGGUAAUGGCUUACCGGGGCGGCGACGGGAAGCCGGCCUGGGAUAGUGGGCGGGAGCAGGGGGACGGAGAUACGGCGCAGACGACACCGCGAGGCCGCAGUGGGGAAUAAUGCGCGAUGGACGGAAGACUAAGGGAGCGACGCCGAGUGAGGGAUGACGGGCGCGGGGUUGUAGCCUCCUGUCGGUAGCGCGGUAGCCACCGGGUUGGAAGGGGGGUGACGGUAAUGGUAGAAGAAGCACCGGCUAACUACGUG
rnacentral:rRNA from 1 species